GACGAACGCUGGCGGCGUGCCUAACACAUGCAAGUCGAGCGAAUGAAGUUCCUUCGGGAAUGGAUUUAGCGGCGGACGGGUGAGUAACACGUGGGCAACCUGCCUCAUAGAGGGGAAUAGCCUUCCGAAAGGGAGAUUAAUACCGCAUAAGAUUGUAGUACCGCAUGGUACAGCAAUUAAAGGAGCAAUCCGCUAUGAGAUGGGCCCGCGGCGCAUUAGCUAGUCGGUGAGGUAACGGCUCACCAAGGCGACGAUGCGUAGCCGACCUGAGAGGGUGAUCGGCCACAUUGGGACUGAGACACGGCCCAGACUCCUACGGGAGGCAGCAGUGGGGAAUAUUGCACAAUGGGGGAAACCCUGAUGCAGCAACGCCGCGUGAGUGAUGACGGCCUUCGGGUUGUAAAGCUCUGUCUUCAGGGACGAUAAUGACGGUACCUGGAGAAUAAGCCCCGGCAAACUUCGUGCCAGCAGCCGCCGUAA
rnacentral:rRNA from 1 species